rnacentral:rRNA from 2 species
UCUAAUACCGGAUAUGACACGGGAUCGCAUGGUCUCCGUGUGGAAAGCUCCGGCGGUGCAGGAUGAGCCCGCGGCCUAUCAGCUUGUUGGUGGGGUGAUGGCCUACCAAGGCGACGACGGG